GGCCAGGCCCCGCACGGUGGAAGCGGUGUGAACCGCGUCAGAUCCGGGAGGAAGCAGCGCUAAGCCUCGUCUUCCACGCGUGCGUUCGGUCUGGCCCUC
rnacentral:SRP_RNA from 1 species